rnacentral:rRNA from 1 species
CGAAAGCCUGACGGAGCAACGCCGCGUGAGGGAUGAAGGCCUCUGGGCUGUAAACCUCUUUUCUCAAGGAAGAAGAUCUGACGGUACUUGAGGAAUAAGCCACGGCUAAUUCCGUGCCAGCAGCCGCGGUAAUACGGGAGUGGCAAGCGUUAUCCGGAAUCAUUGGGCGUAAAGCGUCCGCAGGCGGCCUUGAAAGUCUGUCGUUAAAGCGUGGAGCUUAACUCCAUUUCAGCGAUGGAAACUACAAGGCUUGAGUGUGGUAGGGGCAGAGGGAAUUCCCGGUGUAGCGGUGAAAUGCGUAGAUAUCGGGAAGAACACCAGUGGCGAAGGCGCUCUGCUGGGCCAUAACUGACGCUCAUGGACGAAAGCCAGGGGAGCG